GGGGUGUGCUCGGAGCAGGGGGCCUGAAGAAUGGCUUUUCUGUUUAAACACUCCCAACAGGAACCUGAGGCCAUUGUGAAGAGGGCACAAAAUGUGUGGCCCUACUAUCCACAAGUGCCUUACAUGU
ensembl:snoRNA